rnacentral:tRNA from 1 species
GGGGAUGUGGCGGAACUGGCAGACGCGCACGUUUAAGGGGCGUGUUCUAACGAGUGUGGGUUCAAGUCCCACCGUCCCCACCA